UACGGAGGGUGCGAGCGUUGUCCGGAAUCACUGGGCGUAAAGGGCGCGUAGGUGGCCUGUGGAAGUCUGCGGUGAAAGCCCGGCGCUCAACGCCGGGUCGGCCGUGGAUACUCUCGGGCUUGAGCUUACUAGAGGCAGAUGGAAUUCCGGGUGUAGCGGUGGAAUGCCGUAGAGAUCCGGAAGAACACCGGUGGCGAAGGCGGUCUGCUGGGGUAAUGCUGACACUGAUG
rnacentral:rRNA from 1 species